GUGCGGAUAGUUAUUUAUUGUAAUCUGAUGAUCGUGGAUGUCUUUUCUAGUUUCUUGAAGCUGCAUAAGUGUCCAACUUCUACAGGUAUCUACAUAGAAAAGAUAAAGAUUCUCUCCAAGUAGAUUUGAUUUCCUUCAUAAGGAAAUCAGCAUGCAGAAUUUUUCUUCGCAGUCUUUGAUCAUACUACAACUUUUGGUCACCCGAUGCAAGAAAGAAAGAGAGAUAAAAAAUCUCCAACCCACCCAACACCUUGUGCAUCCUUUCUUUGGGUGUGUGAGAGAGAGAGGAGAGGAGGAGGC
rnacentral:lncRNA from 1 species